rnacentral:rRNA from 1 species
AACUUAAAACUCAAAGGACUUGACGGUGUCCCACCCACCUANGAGGAGCCUGUUCUAUAAUCNAUAUUCCCCGCUAAACCUACCCAUUUCUUGCUUCUCAGCCUGUAUACCUCCGUCGCAAGCUUACCCUAUGAAUGACUUAGUGAGCAAAAAGGCUAUUACNCCCACNCUUCGGGUCAAGGUGCANCCUACAAAAUGGUNAGAAAUGGGCUACAAUUUCUACCACAAAACAUACAAAANACCCUAUGAAACUAAAUCAUGAAGGAGGAUUUAGUANUAAAAAGGAAAUANAUUNUCCUUUUUAACCCGGCACUGGGACNCNUACACACCGCCCGUC